ACUGGGGUCGAAGUAUUGAAGAGUGGGCCAGGUUCUCUGUUUUCCUCCAGGUCCAGGCGGCUGGGCAGGGCCAACGUAGGAAAUGAAGAACUGUGCACGGCGCACCCCAGGAAUUCAGCUUCCUCUCAAAAGCCAUGGUUGCGAGGUCGCGUGUUUAACCUCGCACUGGCUGCUGAGGGAAUUAACAGGCCUGCGCAGCAGCUUCGUUAGCUUCGAAAGAAAAUGGGCCCCGGCUCCCGCAGGAGGCCCGCCUGGCGCGCAGAUGUCGUUAUUAGAAUCCGGGACGUCGGUGGACCCUCUGGGUCUGGCUCCCUCGGGGCUUACGAUGAAAAAAACUGGGGGGCGCGUGUGUGUGUCAUGAGACUUCCAUUUCUGAAGGGGUCCUGUUCCAUAUCCUCAAGAAGGGAGUGCUGCACAGAGAGGCCAUGAGGAAUCUAAGCAGACAGGCCUUGCUGGGUUUCCCCACUCAGUCUGUUAAUAUUAGAUCAUACCUUUUUGUCCAGUCACAUUUUUACAUGGUUGUCAAUUAUGCCUGUCCAGUAAAGUCUCCAUAAAAGGCCCAAGAAGACAGAGUUGGAGUUCCUGGAUAGCUGAACAUGUGGAGGUUCCUGGAGGGUGGGGCACCUGGGCAUAAAAGCUCUGAGCCCCUUCCCUCAUACCUUGCUCUGUGCAUCCCUCCAUCUGUAUCCUUUGUAACAUUCCUUAUAAUAAAUUGGUAAAUGUGUUUCCCAGAGUCCUGUGAGCCACUGUAGCAAAAUUAAUCAAACCCAAGGAAGGGUUCAUGGGAACCCUAAUUUCUAUUCAGCUGGUCAGAGACACAGGUGAAACAACCUGGGGCUUGCUAUUGGUAUCAGAAGUGAGGCGACUGAGCCCUCAACCUGUGGGAUCUGAUGCUACCAAGUAGAUAGUGUCAGAAUUGAGUUGGAGGUCACCUACCUGGUGUCUACUGUAUAAUUGAUUGCUUGCUUGUUGGUGGGGAGAAAUCCCCACAUAUUUGGUCACAGAAGUCUUCUGUGUUAAUUGAGUGCGAGAAUCUGAAUCUGAGUUUUUUUCACUUAUCUAUAGAUUCAUUCAUUCAACAAAUAUGUGUUGUGGACCCUCCUAUGUGGCAGGCACUGUUUGGUAGGAUAGGGGACAGCCAUAAACGAAACAAAAUCGCUGCCUUUACAGAAUGUACAUCUAGUGGGGAAGGCAGGCAGUAAAUAAGUAAAUACAUAGCAUAUCAGAUGGUAUUAUGUGCUGUAGAGAAAACGAGAGUAUUGGGGUUGGGAACAAUUUUUAUUUAAGGUGUUUGAGGAAGGUGACAUUUGAACAGUGAUCUAGAGGAAGCAGGGCCUUGAGGAUAUGUGAGAAAACAAUUGCUGAGGCAGUGGGCCUGCAAAGGCCCUAAGGCAGAGCAUGCCUGGUUUGUUAGAGGAAGGAGGCCAGUAUGACUGGGUAGCAGCAAGGUAGGGAGAUCUUGGAAAGAGCUCACAUCAGAGAGGUUGUCGGGGACUCAAUCAGGUCCACUAUAAAGACUUUGAUGUUUACUCUGAGUGAGCUGGGAAGCUGUUAAAGGGUUUUGGUUUUUUUGUUUUUUGUUUUUUUUUUUUUGAGAUAGAGUCUUGCUCUGUCACCCAGACUGAAGUGCAAUGGCGCCAUCUCCACUCAUUGCACCCUCCACUUCCUGGGCUCAAGUGAUUCUCCAGCCUCAGCCUCUUGAGUAGCUGGGACUAUAGGCAUGUACCACCAAUGCCUGGCUAAUUUUUAUAUUUUUUGUAGAGACAGGGUUUUGCCGUGUUGCCCAGGCUGGUCUCGAAACUCCUAAGCUCAAAGUGAUCCGCCUGCUUCAGCCCCACAAAAUGCUGGGAUUACAUGUGUUAGCCACCACUCCUGGCUAUGCUAUUAAAGGAUUUUGAUUAGAGGAGAGACAUAAGUGCAUUUUAAACACAUCAUUCUGUUAGCUGUGUUGAGAACCUAUUGUAAUAAAACCUAGGUGAGAGGUGACUUGGGCCAAGAUAGAAGAUGUUGAGUUGGUGAGGAAUCGGCUUCUGGAUAUAUUUUCACCUUUGAACUGAUAGAAUUAGAUGUUGGGCAGAAAUGAGGGCAGGGUGAAAAUAAAAGUUCAUGUUAAUUUAUUAACAUUCAAGGAAAUAUUUUUUAAAUUAAAUUUAUUUUUGAGACAAGGUCUCACUGUAUCACUCAGGCUGGAGUACAGUGGCAAGAUCAAAGCUCACUGCAGCCUCAAACUCCUUAGCUCAAGCAGUCCUCCCACCUCAACCUCCUGAGUUGUGUGCCAACUCACACUUGGCUAAUAUUUUUAUUUUUUGUAGAGACAGGGUCUUGCUCUGUUGCCCAGGCUGGUCUCAAACUCGUACGGUUUUUUGUUUUGUUUUUUUUUUUUUUAUGAGACAGAGUUUCGCUCUUGUCGCCCAUGCUGGAGUGGAAUGGUGUGGUCUCGGCUCACUGCAACCUCCACCUCCCGGGCUCAAGCGAUUCUCCUGCCUCAGCCUCCCAAGUAGUGGGGAUUACAGGCACCUGCCACCAUGCCUGGCUGAUUUUUGUAAUUUUUUAGUAGAGAUGGGGUUUCACCAUGUUGGCCAGGCUGGUCUUGAACUCCAGACCUCAGGUGAUUUGCCCACUUCGGCCUCCCAAAGUGCUGGGAUACAGGUGUGAGCCACUGUGCCCGGUCCAAUGUUUUAAUGUAUGUAUAAUAUACAUUGUGGAAUGAUUAUACCAAACUGACAUAUCCAUCACCUUACAUACUUAUUUUUUUUGUAGUGAGAACAUUUAAAAUCUGUUCUUUUAGCAAUUUUAAAAUAUACAAUACAUUAUUGUUGACUACGGUUACCAUGUUGUGCAACAGAUCUUAAAACAUUAUCUUCCUGUCAAACUGAAAGUGUACACUUUGGUCAACAUCUCCUCAUUCCUCCUCUCCUCACAGCCUCUGAUAACCACAACUAUACUUCCAUAAGAUUUUUAGAUCCCAUAUGUAAGCAAGAUCAUGUGGUAUUUGUCUUUCUGUGCCUGGCUUAUUUCACUUAGCAUAAUGUUCUCCAGGUUCAAUUCUUUUGUUACAAAUGACCAAAUUUCCCUCUUUUUUGUCCGGGUGUGGUGGCUCACGCCUGUAAUCCCAGCACUUUGGGAGGCCAAGGAGGCUGAUCACCUGAGGUCAGGAGUUCAAGACCAGCCUGGCCAACACAGUGAAACCCCAUCUCUACUAAAAAUAAAAAAAUUAGGCCGGGUGUAGUGGCUCAGGCUUCUAAACCCAGCACUUUGGGAGGCCGAGGCAUGUGGAUCACCUGAAGUCAGGAGUUUGUGUCCAGCCUGGCCAACACGGUGAAACCUUGUCUCUACUAAAAAUACAAAAAUUAGCUGGGCAUGGUGGCACACUUCUGUAAUCCCAGCUACUCGGGGGGCUGAGGCAGGAGAAUCGCUUGAACCUGGCAGAGGUUGCAGUGAGCCGAGAUUGCGCCACUGCACUCCAGUCUGGGUGACAGAGCAAGACUCCAUCUCAGGAAAAACAAAACAAAACAAAAAAAUUAUCCGGUUGUGGUGGCAUGUGCCUGUAAACCCAGCUACUUGGUAGGCUGAGGCAGGAGAAUCGCUUGACCCUGGGAGACAGAGGUUGCAGUGAGCUGUGAUUGCAUCACUGCGCUCCAGCCUGGGCAACAGAGCAAGACUCCAUCUCAAAAACAAGGCAGAAUUUCCCUCUUAUUAAUAACUGAAUAGUAUUCCAGUGUGUGUGUGUGUGUGUGUGUGUGUGUGUGUGUGUGUGUAUCACAUUUUCUUUUCCAUUCAUCCAUUGAUGGACACUUAGGUUGGUUCCAUGUCUUGGCUAUUCUGAAUAAUGCUUCAGUGAACAUAGGAGUGCAGACAUCUCAUUGACAUACUGAUUUCAGUUCUUUUGGAUAUACACCCAGAAGUGGGAUUACUGGGUCUUAUGGUAGUUCUGUUUUUAGUUUUUUGAGGAACAUCCAUGCUGUUCUCCAUAGUGGCUGUACUAAUUUACAUUCCUACCAACAGUGUGCAAGGGUUUGCUUUUGUCCACAUCCUUGCCAACUCGUUAUUGGAUAAAUAUUAAGCAGUUUGAUUUUUUUUUUCCAUUGCCCUGGCUGGAGUACAAUGGUGCAAUCAUAGCUCACCGCAGCCUCAAACUCCUGGGCUCAAGCAGUCCUCCUACCUCGGCCUCCCAAAGUGUUGGGAUUACAGCCACUGCACUCAGCCAAGCAGCUGGGCUUGUAAGAAUAGAGUUGAAAGGGGCAGGUGUUCAAACUGGAGAUGUAAAUUUGGGAAUCCCCUCAACAUAUUGCCAGUGUAUAAAGAAGUAAGACCUAGGACAGUUCACUGACUGCUCAUCAGAACCCCUAGGGGAACUUUUAAAAAUGCUAUUUUCUGGGUCUGUCCUCCCAGAAAUCGUGACCGAAUUGAUCUGAGGUAAGGUGAGGGCAUUGUAUUUUUUUAAAUAGUCUAAGGUUAUCCUAUAUUUGAACAUUUUUGAAAAAAAAUUUUGCACAUGAAGAACACAUGAUGUUGUUCUGACAUACAGUCUUUAAAAUAUUUAUUUUUUUUUUGAGACGGAGUUUCGCUCUUGCUCAGGCUGGAGUGCAAUGGUACGAUCUCGGCUCACUGCAACCUCUGCCUCCCAGGUUCAAGCAGUUCUCCUGCCUCAGUCUCCCGAGUAGCUGGGAUUACAGGCAUGUGCCACCACGCCCUACUAAUUUUGUGUUUUUAGUAGAGAUGGGGUUUCUCCAUGUUGGUCAUGCUGGUCUCAAACUCCUGACCUCAGGUGAUCCACCCGCCUCGGCCUCCCAAAGUGCUGGGAUUACAGGUGUGAGCCACCGUGCCCUGC
rnacentral:lncRNA from 1 species